rnacentral:rRNA from 1 species
GACGAACGCCGGCGGCGUGCUUAACACAGGCAAGUCGAGCGGUAAGGCCCUUUCGGGGGUACACGAGCGGCGAACGGGUGAGUAACACGUGGGUGACCUGCCCUCAGCUCUGGGAUAAGCCUGGGAAACCGGGUCUAAUACCGGAUAUGACUCCAUGACGCAUGUUGUGGGGUGGAAAGCCUUGUGCGGCUGAGGAUGGGCCCGCGGCCUAUCAGCUUGUUGGUGGGGUGAUGGCCUACCAAGGCGACGACGGGUAGCCGGCCUGAGAGGGCGACCGGCCACACUGGGACUGAGACACGGCCCAGACUCCUACGGGAGGCAGCAGUGGGGAAUCUUGCGCAAUGGGCGAAAGCCUGACGCAGCGACGCCGCGUGAGGGAUGACGGCCU